GAGGUUAUAGCUCAGUGGUAGAGCAUGUCUUAGCAUGCACAAAGUCCUGGGUUCAAUCUCCAGUACCUCCA
rnacentral:tRNA from 1 species